GAAAGAAAUUCAACAAGAGGGGACACUCGGCAAAAACUGGCAACAGGAAACACGUCACCAUACGUCACGCUAUACUUUUGACACCGAACGUUAGCUGCCGCGAGCAUCGAAAAAAAAGAAAGUGAACUUAAGUUAACAGGCAUUGAUUUGUUAUUUUAAUUCUUUGCCGCGAAAACUAAAACGUUUUGCGUAUAAAUGAACUUAAGCUUUGCGACUUAUUUUCCUUGCCUUACCUAGCCACAGGUCAAUGACGCGCCAGAUACAUGCGUCAUCCGCCAGACACUCCCCCGAAGCCAGCGAGGAUGGCUGCGCGCGCGUUUGAGCGCUCGCACGCGGCGACCCGUCUGUCUCCUUUUUUUCUUUUUUAAAUGUAACGUGGUUUACUGGGCUCUCGGCGUAUUCUUGCGUUCCUUCUGCACUGGGACAAGACACCACUGCACCAUUGGACUACGGCAAGCUGGUGCCGUCCGGUGGAGCUUCAUACAGGAACUACUGCCUUAUCUGCUGGUGUCACAACGUUGGAUGAACGCACAAAAAGCGCGGAACGAGCUUUUAUAUAGAGUAAAAUAAAUAUUUCCUCAUUGCACAAAA